AAGGGAAUGUCAUCUAUCACAAAGGCAUGGAGGCCUUGGCGGAGCCUCCGGGUACUUAUUAUUUGUGUGGGUGAUGUGCAAAUCUUGUGAAGCAGGCAAUACAUAGCAGGGCUCACAUUAACUUCUAAAAAUGAUUUGAAAACCAGGCAUCAGGUGUCCAUUAACAAAACCUUACCCACUUUGAUCCACUGAAUAAGUGAGAUACUACGCAAUAUAGCAGUAAUAAUAAUAUAGAUGUGACUGAAUAAAACCUUCAAUACAGAAAGUGAACAAAAUUCUUUGCAGUUUUUUACGAUUCUUGACCGACAUUGUGGAAUUUCAGCAAGUCACUGUUCACUUAUUAGUCUGUUCUCUCUCACUUCACAAUGCUGGUUAGCUGGACCAGAUUCCCUCCACUGAUCCGAUGAGAUCUUUGAUUGUGAGUCCCUCAAGUGAAACAAACGUGAUUCUGCUCAGACAGCUAAAUCUUUGGUUAAUUUGGGGAUUUCAGACAAAAAGUAUUUGGUCAUGAAAACAUAAUGGUUCACAAACGUAAUGUAUAGACCACAGAAAGAGUACCGUCAGAAACACGCUGUCCCUUUUUAUUACUACUAUGUAAAAGGUUAAACAUGUCUAAAUACUUUUAUUUGUAACGGAAUACAUAUGUGUGUUUGGUGAUGUGCAUUAUAUGUAUCAGUACAGUUAUUGGAACCUGCUUUUUUCUGAUACUACUAUAUUACUAGAUAACUAAAAACACAUCUGUGUUCACUUUUAGGGAUCCUACUAACAAAAAAACUACACCCUAACGUGUAUUCAUUCUCUUUUCCCUCCAAUCUGUAUAAAAUAGAAGUAGUGUGUCCGGCCCCCUCUCCUCCCGUGUGCGCCGCACCACCUCCUCCACCUCCUCCCGUCAUCUGUCCGUUUAGCUGUGAUGCGAUAAGACAGUCCCUCCUCACAAUCAGAGAUUGAGGGUACCAGACAGAUGCUGCGGUGAACUCCUCCUCCUUCUUUACUGUUCAGAGUUGGUUUGUUUAAAAAAACAACUAUGAAUGUCUAUAGCAGGUCUCUAUUCUUAGAUAGACUGUGAAUGAGUUGUUUAAUACACUGUUCUUGAUUCUAUGUUAAGUAAGUGAUUUUAUUCAGUGUUACACUGUGGAUGUUUUUCAUGUAUUUAAUUCAGUGUCUUUGGUUAUGGUAGAUCAGUUUAGUCAAUACUGAUUUUAAGAUUGUAUUUUUAUUCUUUCAAACAUGCAGUACAUUUUAAGCGUUGAUAAGUAAUACAAAUCUCCCUUUAUUAUUUGUUUCAAGGACAUGUAAUGUGUGUAUAAUGUGAUGUGAUAAUGUGAAUUUGUUUGUUUCUUUUAAAGUAGUAUACAAUAACUGUAAAAAGCUGUUAUCCUACAGUAACAUCGUAAUCCAAGACUGUAAAACUAAAUGAAACACA